AGAAACUUAGGUUAAUAGACCAAGAGCCUUCAAAGCUCUAAGUAGGAGUUUAACUCUCCUAAUUUCUG
rnacentral:tRNA from 1 species